UACAGGGGUGCAAACGUUGCUCGGAAUCAUUGGGCGUAAAGCGCACGUAGGCGGUCUGUUAUGUCGGAUGUGAAAGCCCUUGGCUUAACUGAGGAAGUGCAUCCGAAACUGGCAGGCUAGAGUACUAAAGAGGGUCGCGGAAUUCCCGGUGUAGAGGUGAAAUUCGUAGAUAUCGGGAGGAACACCGGUGGCGAAGGCGGUUCUCUGGGCAUUACCUGACGCUGAG
rnacentral:rRNA from 1 species